CCUACGGGUGUCAGCAGUGGGGAAUUUUCCGCAAUGGGCGCAAGCCUGACGGAGCAAUACCGCGUGAGGGAGGAAGGCUUUUGGGUUGUAAACCUCUUUUAUCAGGGAAGAAGAUCUGACGGUACCUGAUGAAUCAGCAUCGGCUAACUCCGUGCCAGCAGCCGCGGUAAUACGGAGGAUGCAAGCGUUAUCCGGAAUUAUUGGGCGUAAAGCGUCCGCAGGUGGUUAUCCAAGUCUGCUGUUAAAGCGCGAGGCUUAACUUCGUACAGGCAGUGGAAACUGGAUGACUAGAGUAUGGUAGGGGUCGCGGGAAUUCCCAGUGUAGCGGUGAAAUGCGUAGAUAUUGGGAAGAACACCAGCGGCGAAAGCGCGCGACUGGGCCAUAACUGACACUCAUGGACGAAAGCUAGGGGAGCGAAAGGGAUUAGAUACCCUAGUAGUC
rnacentral:rRNA from 1 species